rnacentral:rRNA from 1 species
GUCUGGUGCCAGCAGCCGCGGUAAUUCCAGCUCCAAUAGCGUAUAUUAAAGUUGUUGCAGUUAAAAAGCUCGUAGUUGAAUUUCGGGAUCAAUACGUCGGUCGUGCUUCGGUACGUACUGGCGUCAUUGAUUUCUCCCUUCUGACGAACCAUGAUGUCAUUAACUUGGUGUCAUGGGAAAUCAGGACUGUUACUUUGAAAAAAUUAGAGUGUUUAAAGCAGGCUCACGCUUGAAUACAUUAGCAUGGAAUAAUGAAAUAGGACGUUUGAUCCUAUUUUGUUGGUUUCUAGGAUCGACGUAAUGAUUAAUAGGGAUAGUUGGGGGCAUUAGUAUUCAAUUGUCAGAGGUGAAAUUCUUGGAUUUAUUGAAGACUAACUACUGCGAAAGCAUUUGCCAAGGAUGUUUUCAU